rnacentral:rRNA from 1 species
UACGAAGGGGGCUAGCGUUGCUCGGAAUCACUGGGCGUAAAGCGCACGUAGGCGGAUUGUUAAGUCAGGGGUGAAAUCCUGGAGCUCAACUCCAGAACUGCCUUGAUACUGGCGAUCUUGAGUCCGGGAGAGGUGAGUGGAACUGCGAGUGUAGAGGUGAAAUUCGUAGAUAUUCGCAAGAACACCAGUGGCGAAGGCGGCUCACUGGCCCGGUACUGACGCUGAGGAGCGAAAGCGUGGGGAGCGAACAGG